CCCCUCUCAGAGUCACACCUGGAGAGUUUCCAGUCCUCUACCAGUCUCGACCGUGGGAGGGACAGUCAAGCAGAGGCCUGUCCCUUGCAUUCCUAGCUUGGCCAGUGGCUAGUGAGUGGAAGACAAUCUGCUGCAAGU